rnacentral:tRNA from 1 species
GGGCCCGUAGCUCAGCUGGUUAGAGCCGUCGACUCAUAAUCGAUCGGUCGCCGGUUCAAGUCCGUAAGCGUCCG